GGUGGGUGCUGGGAGUGCUGGGGAUCAGGGGCCAGCCCAGGUCUGCCUUGACUCGGUCCCCCCCUCCUCUCCACCCCUGCAGUCUCUGCUAAGGCCAAGUCUCAGUCUGGCUGCCAGCUCCCUAUUUAAAGAACACACAGCACCGGACUGAAAGGCAGCAGGUCCCCUGGAAGACUCAGAAGAUGUAGUCCUGUCUCUAGGACCAUCUAACGACGUGGCCUCUGUCACAUACCCCCUCUGAGCCUUAGUUUUCUCAUCUGUGACGUGAAAGGGUUGGACCAGGGCUGGGCACAUGGAAGAUCUUUGAUACUCUCUUUUUAAAUAGAUGGAGGAAUAGGCUGGUAGAUGGUAACAAAUGGGAGAGAUGGAUGAAUACACGGAUGAAGGGGCCACUGGUGGUCCAGGAACAGGGUGUACAAUAGGGCACAAGACGGAGACUUGGAGCCUGGACUCUAGAUCAGGAGUAGAGUGAAGCGAGCACCUCCUUACCGCCUUGGUACACUGGACAUCCUUCCCCAGCAGCCAGUUGAGCUCCAGGUUGCCCUCGCCCUGGUAGCAGGACUGCAGGCGGUACUUGAUCUACUCUGUGCUGUUACGUGAAGCUGAGUGGUUGUCCUUCGCCCCAGAGGGAGAGAGUAGGAAGGUGAUGGGAGAUGGAAGAAAAUGGGCUUCUGCCUCUGUGCCCUCUUGGCACCCUCCCUCUGAGAAGGGGAACCAGGUGAGACUGUGGACCCCCAGACCAUGUCAACACAACUCUUGGUGACCAUUUCCAUCCCGUUACCUUCUUUCACCGCGAGAAGAGAGAUCUCCUGCGUAUCUCUACAUGCAAUCCCUUUUACAGAACCUGUUUUCCCAGCUAUAAAAGGACACCUCACAGGGUUGAGGUGAGAAUCAACGAGACAAUGGAUGUGAAAGUGUUUCUGUAAACUCUACAGCUCGGAAUAAACACCAAUUACUCGCGUUUCUGUUUUGGGGGGAAACACUGUACAAGGGCAUCAUCUCCUUGGUAGUCACAGCUGUCCUGUAUGAUGGCAACAGAGGCUGAGCCAGUUUCACCCAGGUGAGGGGUGAUUCUGUGUCACUGCAUUCCCCAACUCCCAGCUCCGAGGAGAGACCAAGAAGGCACUGGGUGCAGCUGGUCCCUAGUAGCCACUCUCCCCAGUCCCUUUGUCCCCAUACUGCCCAGAUUACUACCCAACAACUCUCAUAGCCUUGAGGAUGAUUGAACAAAUGGUCACUUCUCCUGCUCUUGGUGGUUCAUCCAGGAACCCUGGGCAGCAAAGAAGGAAUGGAAAGCAUUUCCAUAGAAAGAAGAGAUGCUGAAAAGUUUCACAGGCUAGAGAUCCACAUCCCGUGGUCUCUACCCAUACUCUCCUAACAG